UGUAAAAUAAACAUUUCUUUAGGAUCGUAUGACGUAAAUUACGAACUAAUUAAACACGGAUCGCGUUGAUAUCGUUUUAUCGCUUCGAAGAAAUUAAAAUGAGUUACGCAAUCCUCGCAUUAACUUGAAUUGUGCCUUUAAAUCGCAUCAAAAUUCGUAUCUUUUCAACGAAACGCGUAACGCGUUGAACGUUGAGAAGUAUUCUUCCGUGACGGUGGGACGUUCCCCGAGUUAUUUUCAUCAAAGUGUAAAAUAUGUGACUAAUAAUACGAACGAAAAAUCUUUCCAACAAUGAGAAAUAACGACGAUCGAUAUUUAUUCACGCGGUGGCUCGAAUUUAUCUACAAAGAAUGCUUGAAUUUGCGAGGGCGUGCUUUCUAUGUGUAAAAGAGCGCGAGAAACGUGUACUUAGUUUGUCGGAGAUAACAGCAACGAUUAUGAUGCUGCUACCAAUCAUGACGACGACGAUGAUGGCAAUGAUGAUGAUGAUGAUGAUGAUGAUGAUGAUGAUGAUGAUGACGACGAUGAUGAUGAUGAUGAUGAUGAUGAUGAUGAUGGUGAUGGUGACAGCGACGACGGUAAUGACGAUAACGUUACACGGAACGGAAGUAAAUUGAUUUACGAGCGGAUCUUGCCAGGUGAUUUUCUGAUUAACUUACAAACGCAAGUACGAAUGUUACGCAACGAUGUCUUAAAAUAAAAAAGUUUUACUUAUACAAAUUCGAUUCGGAGUUGAAUAAAAUUGUUGACGAACAAGAAUAUAAAACCCAUUGAUUCGUUUCCUCGCUCGAUCUCUCAACGAGAAGUCGUUGAAAACGAAUUAAUCGACUCGAGUUUUUAUCCCAAUAAAAGAGCUCGUCAAAGUUUAUAGAAACGAUCUUUUAAAUUACAAGCGCGAUGUAUCGCGAUAAGGAUAAUGGAAAGCGAAAGAGUCCAAGAUAGAGAUAAGUACUUACAACGUUCGAAGGAUCGAUAUCUCUUAAUUCGAUCUCGUCGAGAUAUUUCAAAUCUGUCAGUCUUUGUACGAUCUUGAUCUCGAUGAGGUUUGAUCCACGCUGCGAUAAAGAGACUUCUUCUUAUACGAUUCUUAUAACGGUUACACAUGUACGAGAUCGUAAAGAAUCGGUGCGCAUAUCGAUACGCUCACAUCUGCGAAACGGCUGUUACUGGAAUGUGUUGGACUGAUUGUCGAAACGAUUUCGUCGGAAUCGAUCGAAUCAAGGACGAAUUUACGGAACGUCAAGAUCGCGCUGACCCGUGAGCGACGACGAUCGGUAGCCGUCAAGUGGAUAAUUACCACGCUACGAUUACCUACGUCUACCUAUCUGGCGUGCCUUGGCAUAGUGAAUGCCUAUCUCGUCCAUAACGCGUCUACUAAUAAAGGAGGACCGAGAGGACGGAGGGGCCGUGUAACCGAACGAUGAUCAUUUAAUUGUCGAAGGUCGUACCGGCGUUCGUCGCGCCGGUACAAGGGAAAAGUAGUUUAAACCGUCGCGUCGUAAGGAUGGAUGGAUCAUCGACGAUCGUACUACGCCCGUGAUAGUCGCGUUCGAAAAGGAGCAGCUCGAGCGCAACUUCUUCAUCCUUUCGAAUUACGAACAUUAAUGAGUUUACUCCGAUGAGUCAUAUUAACGAGAGCAACAAUAACGUCGAUGAAUGAAAAAGUCCUUGCUUUAUA